GCCAUUUUCAGAGUUCUUGUGAGAAUACCUAGACCUGAAAUGUGGAAUCAAAAUUUGCCUGGAAUUCUCACUUGUGAAAAGAAUGAUGAUGUGAAAUAUAUGGAACACUGAAAACAUAGCAACCCACUUUGAAGCAACCUUUAAAAGCUAAGCAAAAAUUGUGAGCAGGGCACAGUGGUCACUCUUCAGAUGUUAGAAAUACCGUGCAGAGGUGUUCAUCCGAACUCGAUGGAAAAGGCAGGUGUCUGUUGAAUUAUACUGAUGGAAAUAACUGGUCAAUUCAGUCCAACAACUCGU